AGAGUUUGAUCAUGGCUCAGAGCGAACGCUGGCGGCAGGCCUAACACGUGCAAGUCGAACGGACCCUUCGGGGUUAGUGGCGGACGGGUGAGUAACACGUGGGAACGUGCCUUUAGGUUCGGAAUAGCUCCUGGAAACGGGUGGUAAUGCCGAAUGUGCCCUUCGGGGGAAAGAUUUAUCGCCUUUAGAGCGGCCCGCGUCUGAUUAGCUUGUUGGUGAGGUAAUGGCUCACCAAGGCUACGAUCAGUAGCUGGUCUGAGAGGAUGACCAGCCACAUUGGGACUGAGACACGGCCCAAACUCCUACGGGAGGCAGCAGUGGGGAAUCUUGCGCAAUGGGCGAAAGCCUGACGCAGCCAUGCCGCGUGGAUGAUGAAGGUCUUAGGAUUGUAAAAUCCUUUCACCGGUGAAGAUAAUGACUGUAGCCGGAGAAGAAGCCCCGGCUAACUUCGUGCCAGCAGCCGCGGUAAUACGAAGGGGGCUAGCGUUGCUCGGAAUUACUGGGCGUAAAGGGAGCGUAGGCGGACAUUUAAGUCAGGGGUGAAAUCCCAGAGCUCAACUCUGGAACUGCCUUUGAUACUGGGUGUCUUGAGUGUGAUAGAGGUAUGUGGAACUCCGAGUGUAGAGGUGAAAUUCGUAGAUAUUCGGAAGAGCACCAGUGGCGAAGGCGACAUACUGGAUCAUUACUGACGCUGAGGCUCGAAAGCGUGGGGAGCAAACAGGAUUAGAUACCCCGGUAGUCC
rnacentral:rRNA from 1 species